rnacentral:rRNA from 1 species
UACAGAGGGUGCGAGCGUUAAUCGGAAUUACUGGGCGUAAAGCGUGCGCAGGCGGUUAUAUAAGACAGAUGUGAAAUCCCCGGGCUCAACCUGGGACCUGCAUUUGUGACUGUAUAGCUAGAGUACGGUAGAGGGGGAUGGAAUUCCGCGUGUAGCAGUGAAAUGCGUAGAUAUGCGGAGGAACACCGAUGGCGAAGGCAAUCCCCUGGACCUGUACUGACGCUCAUGCACGAAAGCGUGGGGAGCAAACAGG